GGCUGGUCUGUUGCUGGGCAAGGAGAAACGCUUCCUUCUCAGCGGGUGAGAAGUAGUAACCUUCCUGGUGGGAUGAAAAAGGUGGAAUUCACAGGAUGGAAUUGCUGGCCAUACAGUAACUCUACUUUUACCCUUUGGAGGAAUAGCCACUGUCGUCUAUGGCAGCUGCACAGUUUCAUCUCCCACCGUCCGUGGACAAGGAUUCUAGCCUCCCCACACCCUGGUCCACACUUGGUGACUGCUGUAUGGACACCAUCCACCCUUGCAGUCGGGAUGUGCAGUGUUGCUGUGGUCUGACUUUCGUUCCCUUUGUGAUGCUGAGCAUCUUUUCAUGGGCAUGUUGGUUGGCUGAUCAUCUAUUUUUGCAGAAAUGGAGAGGAAUUUGGAGUCUUUGCCUUUGCCCCCACCCCUCUGGGUGAAUGUCAAGUAGCCGCCACCCCUUGGCCCAUCGAAAUGAGAGUGAAUUGGUGACAGACCAUCUCCACCCCAGGAAGGAGACACUUCUGUGAAAACCAUGGCACCACAUGCAUGCCUGCUGGUGUGUUCAGACUGAGAGGGGCCCAUCCUGUUCCCUGGGGGGCAGUCAUCAGGAGCCUCCCGCACAGGUGGCCCUGAGGCGCUCUAGCCAGCAGCCCGCGAUGUGGGAUCAGGUGUCCAUUCCCUGCUAUAAACUAUUGAUGCCAGUGAUGUCAGCCACUCAAGGUCUGUGAGUCUCAGGUGUUACUGGCGGAGAAACCGGAGGGCUGCUGCUGCUCUGUCCUGGAGUCCCACAGCCCACCUGGGAGGCACAGUUCUUCCCCUUCCUGGAUCGUUCCAGAAUUAGCUUCUUACCAGGAAGGCUCCCACUCCCAAGGAGUCCUGACCUCCAGGAAGCAGGACUGCAGAGGCCCAGGAGGGUUUCGUUGAAUUGGGCUAUCUCCCUGCAGGCCCCUAUGGCCCCAGAAAACAUUCAGAAAUACCAGAGUGUCUGGGCUGAAUCUCUUUGGCUCACAGCAUCCUCUGUGGGGCUGUCCUAGGAGCUGUGGGGUGUGGGGAGGCCUCCCUGUCCCCACCCACUCAAUGUCAGGAGCCUCCCUCUGCCCCAAGACAAGCACAGAUGUCCCCACAUGCACCCCGGUGUGCCCGGGGGCAGAAUCUCCCCAGGUGAGAACCGCUGCUUUACUGUGGUUAAUUCUGGUCUUGGAUUUGGUCUGGCCUUUUCAAGCCGGUCUCACACACAUCCAGGGUCACAAGCCAAGAUUUGGACAAGGCAUUGACCGACUUUCCCAGAGCAAGUUCCAGACGAGGCAGCCCAGGGUGUGGCCAGGGAAAGUCUGGGGUCUCCACUCCCCUCACCCGGGCCCAUGUCCAGCCUGGAUCCCGAAGGCAGCCAUGUGUUGCCCCAUGACCCCGCAGACAGGCAGUGGGGGUUGGGGGGCAGGUGAGCAGGUGGCCUCAGAUCGCUUACAGCUGGGCUCAUGUUCCUUAUCGAGAUGUUGUCCUUGUCAUGAAUUUUGCAAGCUCGUGGAAGCAGCUGCCC
ensembl:lncRNA